rnacentral:rRNA from 1 species
UGGGGAAUAUUGCACAAUGGGCGCAAGCCUGAUGCAGCCAUGCCGCGUGUGUGAAGAAGGCCUUCGGGUUGUAAAGCACUUUCAGCGAGGAGGAAGGGUAGUGUGUUAAUAGCACAUUGCAUUGACGUUACUCGCAGAAGAAGCACCGGCUAACUCCGUGCCAGCAGCCGCGGUAAUACGGAGGGUGCAAGCGUUAAUCGGAAUUACUGGGCGUAAAGCGCACGCAGGCGGUUUGUUAAGUCAGAUGUGAAAUCCCCGCGCUUAACGUGGAACUGCAUUUGAAACUG